rnacentral:rRNA from 1 species
CCUACGGGAGGCAGCAGUGAGGAAUAUUGGUCAAUGGGCGCGAGCCUGAACCAGCCAAGUCGCGUGAGGGAGGACGGCCCUACGGGUUGUAAACCUCUUUUGCCGGGGAGCAACGGGCGCCACGUGUGGCGUCACUGAGAGUACCCGGAGAAAAAGCAUCGGCUAACUCCGUGCCAGCAGCCGCGGUAAUACGGAGGAUGCGAGCGUCAUCCGGAUUGAUUGGGUUUAAAGGGGGCGUAGGCGGAUUGUUAAGUCAGGGGUCAAAUUGAGGGGGUCAACCCCUGCCCGCCAUUGAAACUGGCGUUCUUGAGUGGAAGAGAAGUAUGCGGAAUGCGUGGUGUAGCGGUGAAAUGCAUAGAUAUCACGCAGAACCCCGAUUGCGAAGGCAGCAUGCCGGCUUCCGACUGACGCUGAAGCACGAAAGCGUGGGGAUCGAACAGGAUUAGAUACCCCAGUAGUC